ACUCUAGUCUGACUCUGUGAAAAGACAUGAGAGGUGUAGAAUAAGUGGGAGUAGCAAUACGUCGGUGAAAUACCACUACUCUUAUCGUUUUUUUACUUAUUCGAUGAAGCGGAAGCGAACCGCAAGGUUCACGUUCUGGAUUUAAGGUCUCUCUCUUGCAGACCGAUCCGUGUCGAAGACACUGUCAGGUUGGGAGUUUGGCUGGGGCGGCACAUCUGUCAAACGAUAACGCAGGUGUCCUAAGGUGAGCUCAAUGAGAACAGAAAUCUCAUGUAGAACAAAAGGGUAAAAGCUCACUUGAUUUUGAUUUUCAGUAUGAAUACAAACUGUGAAAGCAUGGCCUAUCGAUCCUUUAGUCUUUAGGAGUUUUAAGCUANNN
rnacentral:rRNA from 1 species